UCAACAUCAUUAUUAAUCAUCACUAUUGACCCCAAUAACCUAUGUCAUCACAAUCAUCACUGACAACCAUCAUUAUUGUCAAUCACUAUUGUCAGUCACUAUCACAUUUAUUAUUUUUAUUAUUUAUAUCAUAUCCUUGUCACCACUGCCGCCUUCACUACUACACUAUUACGAUCGAUCCCUACUAUCAAUCACCCCACCAUCUCAAUUAACAAUGUCGGCAAUGACAACCAAACGCAUCGUCAACCACAAUCACCAUCAGUUUUACACUAUUGUGUAGUGAUUAUUCCUCAUAUAUAGUAUACAUCUAUGUAUAAUAAGUUUUACAGGUAAUGUGCAAUUGUUUCAAACGAAGGUCAAUAUUUAAGUUUGAGAAUUUUGUGCGAUUUCUAUUUACUUUUUUUUUUUAAAAAAAAAGAAGUUAAAGUCAGGUGAAUAAAGUGAUGAUAGGCCUAUAUCUAUUGUAUAAUCAAUAUAUAGGAUAUACAUAUUGAUUAUACACAAAUUAUGUAGUGAUUAUUCAUCAACUAUACAUUAUAAAAUUAUGCAUAAUGUUUAGAAGUAAUAUACAAUAGAUUCAAACGAAGUAAAUAUUGAAGUUCUCUAACUUCAUAAUGAUAUACUAAAUGUACUUCGUUUAUAUGGAUUUGAGCUCAAACUACCCUCAUCGGACCUAAAACUUUCAUCUUUGCAAGAGUUACACCUUGAGGAAUCAUUUCUGGACGAGCAAUUACUUCAAUAUCUACGCACAACUUGUAAUCAUUUACAAGUUUUGUCUUUCAAGAGAUUUCUGUUGCUAAACACCAUGAAGAUCUCAUGUGACUGUCUCGAGCGCUUGGCAAUCGUCGCGUGUGAUAAUUUGGAUGUGGAUGCUCCUAACUUAAUGUUAUUCACAUAUCAUGUUCAUUAUGGAACCACACUCAAACUGAAAGGUUCACAUUCGCUGGAAGCUCAUCUCACCUUGAUCCCAGAAACCAUCGAGUCUCAUUGGUACUCUAAGCUCACAAAGUCUCUUGGUAACUUUAAUCAUUCCAAGUCUGUUAUCUAAGCUGCGAUUGUGAUGAGGUGAUAGUUAUACCAAAAGACGUGAGAGGAAACUUCAAUUAACACUCCAUUUUAUGCUACUAAUGGUUUCCAUGUAAACAUUCAUAAUCUAGUGAAACAUUCAGUUGUGGACGUUCUUGAUAGUUUGUUUUGGAUUUCUCCCCAAUUGGGCACUGUAUUAAUACGAUUCAUAAGCUGAUAAAAAGAGCUUUAACAUUCUUUAUAUAGGUUUCAUGAUUGUGUUCUUGCAGGUUUUCGUUGUUUUGUAGUUUAUAUACAGAUUACAGAGAUGCAUCAGAUAAGGAUGAGAGACCUUGUUGUACAUGCGUAUCUCUACCUUUUAAGUGUUGGGAAGCAUAAGUUAGAGAGAGUCAAAUUUCAAAAUUUUACGAGCGCGUUGCUCGAGAAGUUGAAGAACUACAUUUACAUUUUCACAAAUGCAGAUGACUUGGAGAUAAUAGAAGUACCACCAGAAUGCAGACUUUGAGCCAAAUGGUCCAUUUCAUAAUUUCCUUGGUUUUUUUUAGUGUUGUUGCGUCUUGGCUUAAUUUGAAUAAACUUAGCAUGUCUUCUUGUGAUGACAGACAUACUAUCAGCCCGUGUAAUUCUAUUACAAACUUUUUGCCUGCAUGUUCAUCCAAGGGGAUUCUUAACCUUGAAAAGUUACUGGUUAAGAGGUACGUCAUAGAAAUGCAAGUAAAAAAGUUUACAUACUUUUAAUGAGCUGGUGUUAGCUGGUCUUCAUUUUGUGGGUAAUACCUACUAUGAUGUCCGAUGGAAGAUUGGGAGGGUGGACUACAGUAUUUCCCAACUAAACAGUCUUCCACAUCUACGCUGGGAUUAUAAAAUCUUGGGCUAAAAAUUCAACCGGUUUUGGUCUAUCAUAUCAUAUCGUCCAUUCCAACUUCCAAACGAUGCACCAAUAUGAGUAAUACGAUUUAGAAGAAACAAACAAUAUGCUGUACUCAUGAUCCGCCUUGCUGAAAAGGUUUGCUCAAUUUGUUCCAGUCCAAAAAAAUGCAGUCAGAAUAGUUGCAUAUUAGCACGCUGGGUGCAACAACUUGCUGGCAACAAAGUUGGGAUAUGAGUACCUGACCAUCGCCUCAUAACUUCAAUUAUUCAACUUGAAGUGUAAAUGGGUAUUUUACAUAUCCCUCAGAUGAAGGUUUUCAAAGGAAAAACUUCAAAUAAGUGUACGAUGAACAGCAGUUAUCAAGACCAAAGAGCGAGUUACAUUAAGGAAAGAAUAAAGAACCACAGUUUAUAUCAGAGCGCUUUCAGAUAACAAAGUUUAUAGAUGCAGCACAACAACGAGCACAUUGGCAAGCUGAUCAGAGUAUCCCAAGUCCACUAGCAAUGUUCUAUAAAAUCUCAUGUUUCCACUAAAACCUACUUUAAGGAAACACAGGCGGUAGAGUUUAGAAAAUUCCUAAUACAAUAUAGGACAUCCCGUUACGAUGCUCUCAAGCCUCAGCUGCUAAGGUAUAUAGAGUCAUAAAGGGUCGUCAUCAUCCCUAAGGACCACAACUACUUCAGAAGUUCAUAUCAUUGGACUUAGAGAACCUCAAGGAUGACACAAGUUUUGUUGAAGAGGUGACUUAUGUGGGUAUCAAACUCCAUAAUCAACUACAUUAAACCUCACAUCUUUCUUAAGACUUUGAGAAUUCCGGGAUGUACCAAAUGUUCAGCAUUUGGAACUUAGGCGUAUGGUACACAUCCCAUCAACAACAGGGAAAACACCAAAGCCAACCCAUAGCUUCUUCACAAUCGCAUAACAUCAUAGAUUCUCAAAAACAUCAGAAAAUAUCAGUUCAAAUCGGACACCAAGAAUCCUCUACUACUCUGAAGAAUAAGUUAGCAUGGACAUCCCAAAUCUACAUGAGAAAAGGCUUAAGAUGCUGCAAUGUCUAAUAAUGCAAACAUACAGAUGUCACAGGCUCAAUUGGUAAAGCAAAUUGACUACACAAUCACAAGAGAGUAAAAUGUACAUAGAAGUGUUCAAUCUUAAUGUAUGCAACAGAUAAAA